rnacentral:rRNA from 1 species
UACAUAGGUCGCUAGCGUUGUUCGGAUUUACUGGGCGUAAAGGGCACGUAGGCGGCCAGGCGUGUCGAGUGUGAAAUCUCCGGGCUCAACCCGGAAAGUGCGCUCGAGACUGCCUGGCCGGAGUACGGGAGGGGGAAGGGGAAUAUAGGGUGUAGCGGUGAAAUGCGUUGAUACCCUAUAGAACACCGGAGGCGAAGGCGCCUUCCUGGAACGUAACUGACGCUAAGGUGCGAAAGUCGGGGGAGCAAAC